rnacentral:rRNA from 1 species
UGGGGAAUUUUGGACAAUGGGCGCAAGCCUGAUCCAGCCAUGCCGCGUGUCUGAAGAAGGCCUUCGGGUUGUAAAGGACUUUUGUCAGGGAAGAAAAGGCUGUUGCUAAUAUCGACAGCUGAUGACGGUACCUGAAGAAUAAGCACCGGCUAACUACGUGCCAGCAGCCGCGGUAAUACGUAGGGUGCGAGCGUUAAUCGGAAUUACUGGGCGUAAAGCGAGCGCAGACGGCUACUUAAGCAGGAUGUGAAAUCCCCGGGCUCAACCUGGGAACUGCGUUCUGAACUGGGUGACUAGAGUGUGUCAGAGGGAGGUAGAAUUCCACGUGUAGCAGUGAAAUGCGUAGAGAUGUGGAGGAAUACCGAUGGCGAAGGCAGCCUCCUGGGAUAACACUGACGUUCAUGCUCGAAAGCGUGGGUAGCAAACAGGAUUAGAUACCCUGGUAGUCCACGCCCUAAACGAUGUCAAUUAGCUGUUGGGCAACUUGAUUGCUUAGUAGCGUAGCUAACGCGUGAAAUUGACCGCCUGGGGAGCACGGUCGCAAGAUUA